rnacentral:rRNA from 1 species
CACCAGCCCCUCGAGUGGUGGGGAUGAUUAUUUGGCCUAAAGCGUCCGUAGCCGGCCGGGUAAGUUUCCCGUUAAAUCCAGCGUCUCAAGCGUUGGACUGCGGGAAAUACUGUCUGGCUAGAGAGUGGGAGAGGUCAGCGGUAUUCUGGGGGUAGGGGCGAAAUCCUUUGAUCCCCGGAGGACCACCAGUGGCGAAGGCUGCUGACUAGAACACGUCUGACGGUCAGGGACGAAAGCUGGGGUAGCGAACCGGAUUAGAUACCCGGGUAGUCCCAGCCGUAAACGAUGCAUGCUAGGUGUUGGGUUGGCCACGAGCCACCCCAGUGCCGCAGGGAAGCCGUUAAGCAUGCCGCCUGGGAAGUACGAUCGCAAGAUUGAAACUUAAGGAAUUGGCGGGGGAGCACCACCAGGCGUGAAGCCUGCGGUUU